GCAUUAAUGGGGUAGUGGUAACCUGGGUCGUUGCCACAUUCACAUUCGAGUUACGUAAUGAAACUCGACCCGCCGGGGGUUCGAUUCCCUCUUAAUGCA